UCUUCACUGGCUGAUGCACUCUAUCACCUGAGCUAUACCUCCUACCCCCAACCCUGAGUAUAGGAAUCAAUGUGCUUCCCCCCAUAUUUCUGCUCAGACCCCAUGACCAUAAGUGACUUCAGGUAAUUGUAGCAUAGAAUAUGACACUGCAAACACUUAGCUAUAACAUGCAAGUCAUCCAAAUGAAGCCUUCAAGAAUGUUCUGAGCAAGGGAACGACUUUCAUGUGCAUUAGUAUUCUUCUCUGCUGGCCCCUGACAGGGACCACACUUCCUGUGGGCUGUGAGAUCCAGAAUAAUUUAAGUCCACAUCACUUUCCAAACAUGCUGCGUGGCUGCAAGCUCACUGUUUGGGAAAAUCAAGCAGGCUAUAGACAAGCAGGGUCUAGCCAAGCCACCACCUGAGACCAUCACCCCACCUUUCCACCUGUGGCAUAAGCUUCCCAGGGUGAUUGCCAACAGACUGGCUAAGGCAGUAAGAACAUUAGUAAGAAUGUUUCUUAGUGAUGGGCUGAGAGAGGACAGGAGGCCCCAAUCCAUUGUCCUCCCAUGUCGGAUACCUUAAGAAGCAGAAGUAGUAUUUUCUGCGUGGUGGUAAGCUUGCUGUCCUGCUGGUACUGGAUUACCAAGAUGGCAUGGAAGAUGGGUGCUUUGUUCUUUUUGUGCCAUAUUAAGCCUGGAACUUAAGAGCCUGGGUGCUGUCCCUUAGCGUUUGUGCUCUACCACUUGAGUCACAGCUCCCUUCUGAUUUUUCGCUGGUUAACUGGAGAUAAAAGUCUCAAAGAUUUUCCUGCCCAGGCUAGUUUCAAACCAGUAUCCUCCAAUCUCAGCAUCCUGAGUAGCAAUGAUUACAGGCGUGUGUCACUGGUGCCCAGCUGUAGGUGUUUUCUAUCAUAUCCUCCUCUCAUCUGUCUUCAUUUUGUCACACUCACUGCAUCCCUGGGACAGGCUUUGCCACUGACAGUUGUCGAUUUACUGUUAGCCAUGUAGAUGACAGCUAACAAAAGCAAAAGAGCUAUGCCUCUUUCCAUACCUCCUUUCUCCACACAGCUCCCAAGAGAAACGAGGCUGGAGCAAAAAUAUACAAAGUGUGCUCACAUAAAGCCCAAGCUCCCUCUCCCUGAGCUUACCCCCAGCCCGUUGGGGAUUCGUAGGCCCCGUGGAUCGUCUGGGUGCCUCAGGAUGCCGGGGAGCAUGUGGAAGAUUGGGCCAAGCCAGGUUGCACCUUGCCCGCUCUCUGGAGAAUUGGUGUGACACUGUGGUCACAGUUCCUGCUGGCUUUUCCCCUCCCAUUAUUCCACUUCGCACUGAGCUCCAAUUGAGCCCAGUGAGUGAGAUGAGGAGGCUGAACCUGGGGUCCGCCUUCGUGCCUGGCUCAGGGCAGACAACGGCAGCUCCCCCAUAAUGGGGGUGGUCUCCAUGAGAUCUGCCCGCAUUUGGGCACAGGACACUUGCAAUGUGGCCAGUGGAGGAGUUAUGAACCCCAUGUUUCAUCCCCUGCGAUUUUAAGUGUUAAGUGGCUGCAGGUGGCUGGUGACAAGCUUAUGAGACUAAGGCUUGGUGCUUGUUUAGCAGGACUCUGGCUCUACUGGUUGGUCACUCCCCCCCCACCCCCAACCAAUCACACAUGAUGAGUUUAAUGAGGGGCUCAGCCUCCCCAUUUUCUUUCCCAGAAUAGUCUUUCUGCCUGCCUCUUCAGAAGCGUUCACCCUACAGGCCCCAGAGAUGGAAGAGAUGAUGUCACAGGGCUCCUUGGAGGAGGAUCCUGAAAGUGGAGCCAGCACUGCAGGGAGGGACCCCCCCUCCCCCGUUCCUUCCAGGGAGGGUGAUGGCCACCACACCCAGCAUCAUUACUCUUUCAACAAGGCUCCUAGACCAUGUGUGAGUAUGCGAAGUGGGCCUGCCUGAGGGUUAGGGUGGUGGUGGAGGUGGGGUGUUAGUGAUCAGAAUCAAAUCCCAAGCCCUAGGCAUUGCAGGCGCCUCCAGGCCCUACAUCCUAACAUCUUGUGGAGUGAUGGAGGGAUUAACAAUUUGAGCUUUCCUUUAGCGUGUGUGAGUGUGUGUGUGUGUGUGGGGGGGUAAUCUUCUACACAGAGCAAAUCAGAAGUGAGGUAUUUCUUGCAACAUAGCUGUGCACUGCCAUCUGCUACUCUCAGUUGAAAAACUUCACUGCCUUGGUUAACAAACAUCACAAGUAUUCCAGAAUAUCAACUAACCUGUGUUGGUUGGGGUGUUUUCUGAACACUUUUUCCUUGCAUACAGGGAAAAGAUUGUGCUGGCUGCUAUCCGAGUAGGUGUGAAUUAACAGCACCAUGUGUGUGCACACAGAGUCGCUAGCAUAGCUGCUUCA